rnacentral:rRNA from 1 species
UUCCCUUGGGGGGGCCACAAGGGGGUAUUUUUGGCCAAGGGGGAAAGCUUUAUCCCAACCCAUCCGCGCUUGACAAAAAGGCCCUCGGGUGUGUAAGCAGUUUAUGUGGGUGGGAAAAUCUUUUUCUCUUAAUACCAUUGCAUUAAGGCGUCCCCAGGAAAAAAAGUCCCCGGCUAACUUCGGUCCCACCACCGGGUGUAAUUCAGUCCGCCGCGGGCGUUUUUUAAAUUCGAUGAAAAUUCCCGGGCUCCACCCUGGAACUGGCUUUAAAAAUGUCAAGCUUGAGUUCCCGCGGAGGGGGAUGAAUUCCCGUGUGUAGCAUUAAAUUGUGUAUAUUUUGGAGAGACACCCGUGUGGGAAGGCGACUCCCCUGACCCUCCCUGCACUCUAAGUCGAAAAAGCUUGGGGGCAAACCGGUUUAAGUUCCCUGGUAGUUCCACCCGUUAACGAAGAUCACUAGCUUGUUGGUCCCAUCCCUCAGUGCCGCAGCUAACGCGUAAGUGACCGCAUGCAUAUA